rnacentral:rRNA from 1 species
GUACACUCCUGCGGGAGGCAGCAGUGGGGAAUUUUGAACAAUGGGCGAAAGCCUGAUCCAGCAAUGCCGCGUGAGUGAAGAAGGCCUUCGGGUUGUAAAGCUCUUUUGUCAGGGAAGAAACGGUGAGAGCUAAUAUCUCUUGCUAAUGACGGUACCUGAAGAAUAAGCACCGGCUAACUACGUGCCAGCAGCCGCGGUAAUACGUAGGGUGCAAGCGUUAAUCGGAAUUACUGGGCGUAAAGCGUGCGCAGGCGGUUUUGUAAGUCUGAUGUGAAAUCCCCGGGCUCAACCUGGGAAUUGCAUUGGAGACUGCAAGGCUAGAAUCUGGCAGAGGGGGGUAGAAUUCCACGUGUAGCAGUGAAAUGCGUAGAUAUGUGGAGGAACACCGAUGGCGAAGGCAGCCCCCUGGGUCAAGAUUGACGCUCAUGCACGAAAGCGUGGGGAGCAAACAGGAUUAGAAACCCUGGUAGUCCC